rnacentral:rRNA from 1 species
AUGGGCGAAAGCCUGAUCCAGCCAUGCCGCGUGAGUGAAGAAGGCCUUCGGGUUGUAAAGCUCUUUCAUCCGGAAAGAAAUUGCUUCUACUAAUACUUGGAGUGGAUGACGGUACCGGAAGAAGAAGCACCGGCUAACUACGUGCCAGCAGCCGCGGUAAUAA